rnacentral:rRNA from 1 species
UGGAAGUAAAAAGUCGUAACAAGGUCUCCGUUGGUGAACCAGCGGAGGGAUCAUUACCGAGUUCACAAGACUCCCAAACCCCCCUGCGAACCAUACCACACGCGUUGCCUCGGCGGGACCGCCCCGGCGCCCCAGCGGCCCGGACCAAGGCGCCCGCCGGAGGACCAUCCCAGACCCUCCUGUCGCAGUGGCAUCUCUCUCCGAGUCAAGAAAACAAGCAAAUGAAUCAAAACUUUCAACAACGGAUCUCUUGGUUCUGGCAUCGAUGAAGAACGCAGCGAAAUGCGAUAAGUAAUGUGAAUUGCAGAAUUCAGUGAAUCAUCGAAUCUUUGAACGCACAUUGCGCCCGCCAGUACUCUGGCGGGCAUGCCUGUCCGAGCGUCAUUUCAACCCUCGAGCCCCCGCCGCCAGCCCUCCCCGGGCGGGCGGCGCGGGGCUCGGCGUUGGGGGUUUCCACGGCCCCGAGCCGCCCCCGAAAUGCAGUGGCGACCCCGCCGCGGCCUCCCCUGCGCAGUAGCUCCCAGAGAACCUCGCACCGGAAGCGCGGAGGCGGUCACGCCGUAAAACAAACCUCCUCCUGGAAGUGACCUCGGAUCAGGUAGGAAACCACGAACUCCU